AAAAAUUCCACGAGGACAGUUAAGGUGAGGGGGGUUAUAAUUUAUUGAUUUAUUGGGAACGACAAAUUGUUUGUUAACACUUUUGAUUAAGUCAGGAAAGAUACUUUAAGAAAUUAAACAAAAUAAAUUUGACGCCGUGACAGAUGUUAAUGGUCAUAUUCGGGUUCAGCGACCCCAAAUUAGUUCAAUUUGAUCGGCCACAAGCCUGUUACAUGUUGUUUAAAAAUACUUGAAGGUUCUCUCUUCGCCAUAUUGGACGCCAUCUUGGAUAACACGCUCCUGGGCAGAGACGCAUCAAGCUCUAUAGGCUCUAUAAAAACUCCUUACCUGCUCUGUAUGGUAGAACAGAGCUAAGCUCUGUAUGCAGCGAACAGAGCCAGCUCUGUAUGGGGAAAAAUAAUAUUGAUUUGCAUAUAUCUCAAAAAACGAUAAGUUUUAGAAAGAUGACAUGUUCUAGAAAGUUGAUGGUACUAAAAGGUUCUAUAUUAUUCUCUUAGACGUCACUACAAUUUGAUUGAUUUUAGUUGUGCAAAACAAGAAAAAACUAUUUAUUUUCUAAGAUAAUGGGUAUAGAAUAUUUUUGUUUUCGACAAAGUUGCUCAACUACAAAAAAUGAACAACUCUCUCGAAGAAACCAAAGCUCUAUCUUCAAUAGAUACCGAAAUAAAAAAUCAAAACUAUUUUUAAUAUAAAUACUGCUUGCGACAAACACAAAGCGACCGCGUCGUACGCACAGGUAAUAUGAAGCAUGUUUGGUAGAGAUCGUCUGAAGUGAAAACUUCCCACUCAGCACCGCUGUUUGAAAAAUGUCGCACGUCGUACGAGUUGUCGCACGGUUUUGAUUUUACCGUUUCGAUAUCGAUUGGUCGAAAGGACGAAAAACGUGCGACACACACUCGACAUGCUCGACAUUGUUUUUUCUAUCGAUUUACCUUCAAUUCGACGUCGAUUAUCGUCGACGCAAACAGUUUGACAGUUCUCUUCAGUUGAUCUUGUUCGGACUUGAUCAAAUCAGAAAAACAAUAUUGUUGUAAAGGUUCGUGAGGAUUUUGGCUGGUUGAUUGACUUCCUGAUUUCAGCCUUCGCGACGGUGGAAGAGAACGUGAAACAUCGUUAACCCGGCGGAUCAUGCCGGAAGAUGGGACGGGAAGGAACCGGUCUGCGAUCGAAAGCGGAUUGGGAUCUGUAUCAAACAGUCUCCAAACAGGACAAUGAAAGUGUUGGUGGUGUUUGAUUUUUAGAGAAUGUCAAAAUCGCCAUUAUCAAUACUAAGACCUGGAAAAAAAGAACAAACUUGCGGCCGAGUACAACCUCUGAGUGAAAGCGAUGGAGGUGAACGAACUACUCACGGGGCAGCACACGAAUUCUACCGGAUUGGCCAUCAUCAAGCGAAAUUUGGAAAAUUGUGACUGCAGUGAUAGUGAAUAUUUGGAAAACAAAGUGCCAGGCCAGUGAAAACUAAUAGAUAUCAAUAAAAAUCAGCAAAACAACAAAUAAAAUGAAUUUUAUUUCGAAAAUAACCUAAAAAUUCCGAAAUGACAGCACACGACAAUAGCACGACAUCCUAAAUAACAAAACCGUGCGACGUCGGUCGAAUGUCGUACGACAAUGUCGAGCAAUUUCGAUGAUCGAUCGCACGACAAAUACGACAUUUUGGUGCAAAAACGUAUGACAUUCGUGCGAAUGUCGCACGACAUUGUCGUGCGACGUCGUACGAUUGCACGUACGACAAACGACGGACGUCGGACGGACUUUUCAGUCAGGGACGUUCCGUUUGAAUUCCGUUUAGAAUUCCGCCUGAGCGAAAAAAGUUCGAUUCUAAUUCUAAACAGUGUUCGUUUUAGAUUCUAAACCGCAUUCCGUUUCAAACGCAACAACCGGUUCCAUUUGAGUUUUCGCCGCAAAUCGGUUCAAGCGGAAUUCAAACGGAAUGAACGGGUUGCUUUUGACAGCUGCUUCUUCUUCUUCUUUUUUCAUUCUGGUUUUCUUUUUUUGUUUUGGUUGAAUUAGUAUUCAACCAGAAAAAAAUGCCUGAGUGUUUUCUAAGGUUUAAAAUAUUUUAUUUACAAAGAAAAAAAUAAAAACAAAGCCCAAACCCAAUAAACCCCUAAAAUUAUGUUUAAUUUCAUAAAGAGAUUUUAAAAUAAAGCACACCGUGACCAAAAUGAUACAGAUCUUUUCUACCAUCUCGGGAGCAUUCCGAAACCACCACGCGGAAUCUUUUUUUAGAAUCGGGUCAUGAACAUCGGCUCCAAUAUUCGUUAUCUGCACGAACUCGACUCGACCUCGCUCAUUGGGGCAACCACGAGUUAACCGAUUGACCUUCGACCUUUUUGGCUUGCAAAAUCUGGUCGGUUCACGGAGUUUCUCCAGUCGGUUUGCAUCAGGCAGCUGAUCCUUUUCCGGCUUUGGAUCAGCUAAGUUUUGGUCCUCCAGCUGCUAGACUUCUGUGAAUUGGCGCUUUCGUUCUGCAGCAGGUUCCCCAGCAACGGUCUGGUCAUCGCGACGUUCCCAUCAACCGACUGCAGUGGUAAUCAACGUGGUGCUGGCGAUCCAACGCUUCUUCCUGCUGGGCAGCGGCCGCCACCAGCAUCCGGACACUCGCCGAUUCCAAAUCAACUGGAGUUAGUUUCCUGAAGGUUCCUUCGCCGGUUGCCAACGGCCUUGGCGUCGUACUGGGGCGUACUUGAGGCAGCUCGUCAACGAAGUCUGAAUUGGAACAUCGAACAAUAAGAUCCGGACAAGUUACUUACCUCCUAAAAAGCAGCAAAAGUUCAACAACAGCGGCUGCUUUUGCUGCCCCCAGUGGGGGGCUUGCGUUGAAGAAUCUGCUACGGCUUGGGAAGAGAAUUUUGGGUGAAUGACCAAUAAAAAGGGAACCUGAAACAAAAGAACAAUUAAACGAUUUUCGUGAACGAAUAAGUACAUUGAAUUCAAUACGGUAACUAAAUCUUCUUGAAAACAUUAAAAAUACAAAUCUUACCAUUUUGCGCAAGAAACGGACGAACUUGAUGCGACAAGUCCAAAAUUAACCGUCCUUCACCGUCGUGACGUAGUUUUUGACACUUUGCACUCACACGACCAUCGCAAAGCCGUUUCGGCGAAUCGCGGCGAAAUGUCACCGAGGUUCCACCGUACACCAGUAGGUGUCGCCCUUGUUCAAAAAUGGUUAAACGGAAUCGAAACGGAGUCCAACCGGAGAUUCCGUUUAGAAAAUUUCGAAGCAAUUUUCGAAGCGGAAUUCGAAGCGGAAUGAACCCGUCAAGCGGAGAACUGUUUGAUUGGGUAGUAUAGCAGAGUGUUCAUAGAGAGUUUUUAUGUUAAAUGCUCUCGUCUGGAUGGUCGAAAGAAAUUUCAGAUAUAAUUAUACAAAUUUAUAAAAUUAUAUUCUUUUUAUUGUACUGUUAAGAAAUUAGGAUUAGAAACAAUAAAAUUAUUUUACAGCUAUUUUUGUGUUUGUCCCGCCCGUGUGGAUCAAUCGUACCGCGCACUGGACUCACAAUCCAGAGGUCACCGGUUCGAAUCCCGCGGCGGGCGCUCUAAUAUUCUUUGUGCACUCAACCGGCGGUCGCAUGAUUUUGAUGCAUGGCAGCAUGAAAGUAUAUCAGAAUCUGCAUGAAAACUGUCCUCAUGCAUUUUUUGCGAUAUAGGGGUAUGACAUUUUUGCCCGUUACCGACAAUUAUCGACAUUACCGACGGCAGAUUGAUUGUAUUGCAGAAAAAAAAACCUUAACAGAACGAGGAUUGAACCAUCAACUUCUAGGUUGCUGAUCCGACACGCUACCACCGCGCCAUGGACGCUGGAUGAAUGGUGAGGGACAGAGCGCGAACAUAAUGUUCUCUCUAGAUUGUUGCUCGGGGACGCGCCAGCAUUCUAUGUGUUGGUGAGAACUGCAGAUCGCUGACGUGUUUACACGCGGGCAAAAAUGAUCUAUGGGCUUGCUGCAAAAAAUGUAAUAAAAUAUAACAUUUUCUGCAGCAAAUUCACUGUUGCAGAUUUUGAGAUAUAUUUUUCGUUUGGGUGUGUAAAUAUGAGUAUUCGGCGUCGUCGCUCCGUGCCAUACUUUCAUACACUUAGGAGCCCAGGGCGGCGAAGUCCUUGUAGAUAAAAAGGAAGACACUAGUGGUUGGUACUAGCAAUGGUGGCUGACAGCCAGGGAUGGUAUUUUCUCGUUUCCUCGCCGAUGACGAGGGCUUUUAGAUAACGUCCCUCGCUCAAAUCAUAAAAUUUUCGGCGUUCUCCCAAAACUGCAUCAAGAGAGCGAAGCGAAAACGACGCCGAUGAAAUAGCGAGCAACGAACAAACCGAUUCGUAAGACGGAAAAAAACUCUCACACAGCCAGUCCCCUCGCUCAAAAAGCAAGAGAAAGAGCAAUCGUGAAAUUCUCUCUCCCGUAAGCCCUGUAGAAAUGAGUUUAUUUGUGUGCGUAAGCUCCAGUGUAUGUAUACAGCAAUUUCGUGUGCGUGUCUCUCCGGUUGGAACGAUAGUUCCAUCGGAGCCAGCGAUAGGGUAUAUCUCGUCGAUGUGAUGGGCUUUCGAUAUUCGCGAUAGCAUGCCGACCAUCAUUCGGCUGCGAAAGAGAAGAGAAAUUUUAAGAGACGAGGAUCGCGCCGAAAUAUGCAUCAAUGAUAGUGCGAUGGUGAUGGUUUACCUACCCUGCCGACAGCUAUAAAGUCAACUUCGUUUUUUCGUUUUUCGUUUAUGUUUGUCUUGAUAAAACAAAUGUUCAACAAAAUUACAAGUUUCGUGCAACAAAAUAAGAAAAUAACAAUUUCAAAUACGCUAGUUCAAAAAAACUAAAGCUUCUAACGAUUAUUUUAAUUUUAUAAAAAAAAAUAGUUAAAAUCUUUUUAAACUUUUACAAAUUUUCAUUAGGAAACUUUGCCAUUUUAUUGAAUUCAACAGAAAAAUAACUAUAUUUUCCUUACUUUUCAAGCAAGAUUACAAUUAGAAAGUUUCAAGCUCAAGCUCAAUGGCAAAGUUUCCUGAAGAAAAUCUUUAUAAGGUUAAAAAGAUGUUAACUGAUUUUCUUUUUAUUAAAUUAAAAUAAUUGUUAGAAGUUUUAGAUUUUUUGAACUUGCCUAUUUGAAAUUGUUAUUAUCUUAUUUUGUUGCACGAAAUUUGUAAUCUUGUUGAACAUAUGUUUUGUCAAGACAAACAUAAAAAUAGCUGUAAAAUAUUGUUAUUGUUUCUAAUCCUAAUUUCUUAACAGUACAAUAAAAGAAAUAUAAUUUUAUAAAUUUGUAUAAUUUUAUCUGAAAUUUCUUUCAACCAUCCAGACGAGUGCAUUUAACAAAAAAACUCUCUAUGAACACUAGGGUGACUUGAAGUUGCAUGGGAAAAUUUCAAAAUGGACUGAUUCAUUCAGAACAGGCAUUUUCCAAUCCCAUUUGGGCCCCCAAACAACCCCCCAAAAUUUGGGAGCGAUUGGAUUUGACCGGCUUUCCGCAAAGCGAUUCAAAGUUGUAUGGAAAUGUGUAUGGGAAACCCCUCUUUUUUACAUUUUGAUUUUUAUAAUUUUAAUUUUUCACUCAAUUUAAAAACUAGCACCGUAGAAGUAUAGUCCUGAAUGUCCUCUAAAACUUUCCCGAAGAAAGUAUGGUCCUAUCUUUCUUCUGGAAAAUGAUAAAGAGUUUUUAAAAGAGGCAUUUCAGAAUAAGUGCUGAAAAUUAUAUUUCUUGCCAACACUGCCAGUACUUCGGUAGAUAUUUCGAAAUCUUCUUUUUAACGUAAUAAGGAAGCAUCCUAGCAAAAUGGUGUCUUAGGAAAAGUUUUUGUAUAUGAAUGUGGCUUUUAUUUAAAAUUAUUGACAUGCAGGGUGACACACCUACAGGGUGUCAACCAAACCCUAAUUUGUACUGGUGACCUUUUAAAGCGUUGGUGUCUUAGGGAAAGUUGUUAAACUACUUAAAAAAAAAGCAAAAAAAAGCAAAGUAAUCCACUUUAACGACCCCCGGGUCUUUUGUGGUCUCUGUUGCAAGUUUCUGCUCAUUUCUAGGCGUCCGAAGGUUAUGUGUGGUGAGUCACCCAAAAUCUCUUUUACGCAAAUGGACCGACGUUUUACUUCCCCAUCCGAUAGAAGGCGUGAUCAGGCAAAUCUCGACUCGAAAAAUGCCACCGGGUCCGUCUGGGAUUGAACCCAGGCCAUACUGGGGUUCAGAGUCUACCACGCUAACCACUAAACCACCGGACCCGGCUAAACUACUUAUUCCAACAAAUUUUGACAUGUUGGAAGACAGGGUGGCACAUCUAGAGGGUGUCAACCCAUUUCUAGCUUCUAAUUAAGACCUUUUUGAUCACUGUAAAAUGGGCGAAAAGGGUACAAAUCAAACAAACUCUUCGAUCAGUUGUAUUUUUUCUGUAAAUUGCUCUAUAAAAUGAAAAGAAGCUGAAUAAUGGAAUUUGUUCUGUAAAAAUGUUCAGGACAUUGGAGCAUACUCUACAAAAUCGGCCGAUUUCGACCAUUUUUAUUAUUUUUUUAUUUGGCUCAAGCUUUGUGGAGGCCUUCCCUAUCACCAAAGAAGCCAUUUUGUGUUAUUGGUUCACCCAUACAAUUUUGGCAGCUGUUCAUACAAAAAUGGUACGUAAAUAUUAAAAAAAAAAAUCUGUAACUUUGUAACGAAUGUCUUUGCACGAUGACCAGCAGCAGUUUUAACACCACGUGCCGCGCCAAUCUCUGGGAAGAGAGACUACUGAGGCUUGUUCUAGAAUCCCGGCAGAGACUCUAAACUACACAGAAAAAAAAAUCGGGUAAAUUUACAUCAUUUAUGAUGUACAAAAAGUGCACGUCAUUAAUGAUGCGAAUUUACAUCAAAUUCAUUUGAAAUUUAAAUGCCAUCCGAUGUAAACUUUUCGAACAAAUUGGUCCCAAAACAUGUAAAUUUCCGAUAAAACUAACGUAAAUUCACAAAAGCCGAAAAAUUUUUUUGCCCGUUGAAUCUAGAAUCUGAUGUAAUUUUCAAAAGCUUUCGUGAAUACCGGUCCAGAAAGAUUAAAUUGUUGCUUCUUUUUUGAUCAAAAUAGGUUUUCUUGUUUGACCUGAAGUACACAGAAAAAAAAAUGUAAAUUUACCCGACACUGAAACCAUGCUUUUAUCGUAAACAUGCUCAAUGUAAUUUUGAAAUUCAAUGUAAAAAGUUGUAUUGCAUUUAAACAGCCCCAAUUUAAAAUGAGAUUAAACGUAACGCACAAAUAUCAUGUAAAUGAAUGUUUUGGAUUCGCAAAAUCUAAAAUUUGAAAAUAUGAAAAGCAUGUAAUUGCACUUUUGAUUUAAAAAUUUGAACAUUUAAAUUAAAUACCCCUUAAAUUUCAAUUUGUUUCGCAAAUGAUAGCUCAAGUAGAAGACGAGAACAAAUUUGCUGAUGUUUGUUUGUGCGGAGUGGAAUAAAGAGGUCAAAGGUAAAUAGCUGGAUUUAACAUUUAAAACAAUAAUCUAAGCAUUUGUUUGUUGACUUUCAUAUCAUUUAGAUGGAAGUGGAAGUGUUGGUGGUGUUAGAAAACUCAUUUGCAAGAAUCGUCUGGUGUUCGUCGAUAUUUCAGAAAAUUUGAAAUAAGUCUUAGCAUCUGAUAUAAACAAACAGUUGUACUCAAGGUAAAAGUUAUAUUCUAGCAAAACAAUGUAAUUGGGCCAAUCUCGAUGUGUAAACAAAGAGUCCAUCCUAAUGUAAACAUCAACUGACAUGAGCAGGAUACUCUUUGUUUACAAUUCGAUCAUUUGCAUUGUAUUGCUUGAUAUGAUAAGUGCAUUAAUUGUCGGGAUAUUGAAUAAUUAUCAAAUUCUGAUGUUUUUUUUAGGAAUUUGGAGACAACUCAACUUUAAAAACAUGCACCAAAUGUAAACAUUCAACUUUCGCAACUCCCCCAGCGUACGUCAUACAGUACAAACUUGCGGCCGGAUCUCUUCCGGCAAAAUCCGGUAUCUGGAUCGGUAUCCGGCGAAAUCGUCUUAGAGUUCUCUUCCCGGUGCUAUAACAUUGGCUUCCGGACGGUCGGUGGUCCUGAGGAAGGCCGACAUCAAGAAUUGUUGAACCAAAACCAAGCCGUAUCGGCCCGGCUGGCCAAGAAACUUUCAAGUAAUGAAUCCAGAUGUUCCCAACGGGUAAAUGUUGGUCCUCUAUGGCGAGGGGUGGAAUUGUUGCCUUGAACAACGUUUUAGAUCAGCGGCGCUUCUUCCGCAGCUCCGUCACUAACCCAACGCAGUUUUACCUGUUUUUAGUUCCGCCGCUGAUUCCCUUAGCGAUAAGAUGUCUUUUUCCGGAUCACGACAGCCCUCACCUUGCGUGGUUCUUCCGUGUACUGUUCCGAAUAAUGGAAAAUCUGUAGAUAGGCCAUGCCGGUUCCUGCCUUGAGCUCGUGACUUUUUCCGGUGGGAAGUCGGGAGAAAGCAAACAUCACGAAAAGCGGCACUUGCGAUAGCAAAAUGCUGUGAUCGGGUGCCAGUGCCCAAUUUUGAUAGUUUUAGAAAGAUUACUUCAAAUCAAGGUAGCCCAACUAUUGUUAACACACAACAAUCAACGAUAAAGAUCAAAGCUGCGCUUCUUCACCACCAUGUUUUAAAGGUUUUAAAAAGUAAACAAGCCAAGCACGGCACGCUGCGGGAGAAGUAGUAGAAAUUGCGAAAAUGAUGACAAAAAACUUACACGUUUUCGAAGAGUUACUUAGUAUACAGCACUCGAACUCGAUCUUAAGUCAGUAUUUUUCUAGAAACGUGUUCUCUCUGGUGGUUGUCUUGGAUACUUAGUUCUCACAUUAACCGCAAGAGGGAAGAGGAUUUUAGCAAAUUACACGUUUCGGAUGUUUAACUUUUUAGAGACUGAUUGUUACACUUUUAUAUAGGGUUUUAAUGUCAUCUUCGGUAGCUUCUUUGCAACCUUCGUGAAACGUGUAUGUUGUUGUUUUGGUCGAGUGUUUUGGUCUGUUUUAGAUUUUGAAUUAUUUUUUUCUUUCAAUUCUUACGUUUUUUUUAGGAAUUGUAGCAUAGAAUCUGAUCUGAAUCUGAUAAUGAUCAAAUUCUAACGUGCCAUUUGUGACAACAGGACCACCAUUAAAAAAACGGAAUACAAAUUAAAUCGAAGAGGUCGACCCGAUAGUUUCACCGCUGUUCGAAGAUGACGGCGUAUUCUUUAUUUUGAGAAAGCCAGAUCUUUCAUUGAGCUGUUUAAGAAAGCAAAUGUGACGGGAAAAUUCUCCAAAUGUCGACUUUUUCAUCACUGAUUCGUCACUUUAGGCCAAUUGUACCAAUCGUGGCCUUCAACAUCAUGCCGGAAGUCUUCUCGUGUAAAAUGUUCAACUAUUCUAUGAGCGACACACUCUCGGCAAUCCUUAGCAAGACAUAUGACGAGCAGUACGGUGGCAAUGCCCGACAUCGAAUCCGUAACGCUGCGGAGCUCGACACACUGCGGGGAUUGCUAUCUCGAUCAGAUCGUCGAACAUUGUCAACCUGUUGGACCGACCUCUUUACCAGCUUCUACAACACGAAGGCGAUGGCGACGUAGUGUCGACGUUUCACUGUUGAUUUCCAGGAUCGGCCCGCUGGUCAAUUUUACCUUGGUUGUGAUCGGCUCAGAACACGGUACGUUCGAAUGACGUCUAAGAGGCUCAAGGUGAUUGCCGACUCGAAAUCCCCUAGGACGUUCAAAGCAAGUGUUACACCAGCCAGCAUAAAUUCGACCGACCGGUUGAACUAUGGUUAAACGAUGACGUUACUAAUAAAACCGUGAGUAAUAGUAGUAUGUGAUUUCGUUAAUUUUCAAAGCAAACUUUGUAUAACUGUAAAUUAGUCAACAAAAUGCUACUUAUUCAGAAUAUGCUCACGACCGAUAUGAUAGUUUAAGUGACAAUACGAAACGGUUUUUUUGCUGCUUUAAACCCGUUGAAUUUAGAUUCUGAUAGACAGUUUUCAAAAGCAUUGAUUUUGAGUUUUGUGUUGAGCACUUACAAUUACACGCUUUGUUUAAGUAUUUUGCGUGCUUACACAAAUCGUAAUGCUUUUGAAAAUUACAUCAGAUUCUAGAUUCAACGGGGUAAAAAAAUUUCAGCUUUGGUAAAUUUACGUUGAUUUCAUCGGAAAUUUACAUGAUUUCAAGUUCCUUUUCGUUCGGCCCGUUUACGUUGGAUGAC